ACAGGGAUUGCCUCAGUAACGGCGAGUGAAGCGGCAACAGCUCAAAUUUGAAAUCUGGCCUCUUUGGGGUCCGAGUUGUAAUUUGUAGAGGAUGUUUCGGGUACCGCCCCGGUCUAAAUUUCUUGGAACAGAAUGUCAUAGAGGGUGAGAAUCCCGUCUUGGACCGGCGGUAGGGCCCAUGUGAAACUCCUUCGACGAGUCGAGUUGUUUGGGAAUGCAGCUCAAAUUGGGUGGUAAAUUUCAUCUAAAGCUAAAUACCUGCCAGAGACCGAUAGCGCACAAGUAGAGUGAUCGAAAGAUGAAAAGCACUUUGAAAAGAGAGUUAAACAGUAUGUGAAAUUGUUGAAAGGGAAGCGCUUACAACCAGACUUGAGCGCGGCGGUUCCCCCUUCCUUCUGGUUGGGUUAUUCCGUCGUGUCCAGACCAACAUCGGUUCUGGGGGCCGGUUAAAGGCUCUGGGAAUGUACCUACUCCUUCGGGUGUAGACUUAUAGCCCAGGGUGUCAUGCGGCCUCCCGGGACCGAGGAACGCGCUUCGGCUCGGAUGUUGGUGCAAUGGUUGUCAGCGACCCGUCUUGAAACACGGACCAAGGAGUCUAACAUCUAUGCGAGUGUUUGGGUGUCAAACCCGGAACGCGGAAUGAAAGUGAACGGAGGUAGGAAGCUCUCGGGCUGCACUAUCGACCGAUCCUGAUGUCUUCGGAUGGAUUUGAGUAAGAGCAUAGCUGUUGGGACCCGAAAGAUGGUGAACUAUGCCUGAAUAGGGUGAAGCCAGAGGAAACUCUGGUGGAGGCUCGCAGCGGUUCUGACGUGCAAAUCGAUCGUCAAAUUUGGGUAUAGGGGCGAAAGACUAAUCG
rnacentral:rRNA from 1 species